AUUGAACGCUGGCGGCAUGCUUUACACAUGCAAGUCGAACGGCAGCACGGACUUCGGUCUGGUGGCGAGUGGCGAACGGGUGAGUAAUACAUCGGAACGUGCCCAGUUGUGGGGGAUAACUACUCGAAAGAGUAGCUAAUACCGCAUGAGAACUGAGGUUGAAAGCAGGGGAUCGUAAGACCUUGCGCAACUGGAGCGGCCGAUGGCAGAUUAGGUAGUUGGUGGGAUAAAAGCUUACCAAGCCGACGAUCUGUAGCUGGUCUGAGAGGACGACCAGCCAAACUGGGACUGCGACACGGCCCAGACUCCUACGGGAGGAAGCAGUGGGGAAUUUUGGACAAUGGGCGAAAGCCUGAUCCAGCAAUGCCGCGUGCAGGAUGAAGGCCUUCGGGUUGUAAACUGCUUUUGUACGGAACGAAAAGCUUCGGGUUAAUACCCUGGAGUCAUGACGGUACCGUAAGAAUAAGCACCGGCUAACUACGUGCCAGCCGCCGCAGUAACAC
rnacentral:rRNA from 1 species